ensembl:lncRNA
GGGAGAAGAAUAAUAGGGACCCUGAAUGAGUGGACAAGGAAAGGAAAAUCAUUGUGCCCUUGACUGCUCAUUUUAAAAUCCCCGCAGGACCUAAAGGAAAUGAGUGUGUCUUGGAGAAGUCCGAAUCUGUGAAGAGGAGGAUGGCUUAAUGAACAGGAAAUUAUGGAAUUACUGGGAAAAGUAAUCUGAAUGAGAGCAGGGUCAACAAUUAAGCCAGGAUGGUAGAGGAGAAGGACCUAGAGCUCACCUCCUCUCACUGACACACCAAAAUCACAAUGAACUGCUGAACAACUGUUUAUUAAAAACGACUGGAACCUACCAAGCCUUCUUCAAAAACUGAAGACAUAGAGAAGCAAUCACAUCGAGACAGUAGGAAGGGUACACUCAGGAUAUGGACAGGAGCAGGGUCAAAGAUAAAAACUUACGUUGUGCACCCUUUUGCUUCCAUCUCAUAAUGUAGGGACACACAGGUUAAUGUGAAAGAAGCAUAUCCAUUUGAUAAAGAAAUCAAGACUUUCAAGUGAUAGGUCCAGGGUUAGUGGCAAUAUUAACACUGAUUUCUCAUGUUCUUUCCUUAUGACACCUAAGUAACACAUUAUUUGCAUUCAUAAAUUAUUAAAAUAUUAUGUGAUUUAG